GAUGAACGCUGGCGGUGUGCCUAAUACAUGCAAGUCGAGCGAACAGACGAGGAGCUUACUCCUCUGUCGUUAGCGGCGCACGGGUGAGUAACACGUGGAUAACCUACCUAUAAGACUGGGAUAACUUCGGGAAACCGGCGCUAAUACCGGAUAAGAUGUUGAUCCGCAUGGUUCAACAGUGAAAGACGGUCUUGCUGUCACUUAUCGAUGGAUCCGCGUCGCUUUAGCUGGUUGGUAAGGUAACGGCUUACCAAGGCAACGAUGCGUAGCCGACCUGAGAGGGUGAUAGGCCACACGGGAACGGGGACACGGUCCAGACUACUGCGGGACGCAGCAGUCGGGAACCGGGCGCAGUGGUCGAAAACCUGACACAACAACGGGGAGUGCGUCAAGAAGGUGUCCGGAUCGUAAAACUCUGUUAUUAGGGAAGAACAAAUGUGUACGUAAAUGUGCACGUCUUGACGGUACCUAGUCAAAAAGCCACGGCUAACUACGUG
rnacentral:rRNA from 1 species